rnacentral:rRNA from 1 species
CCUACGGGAGGCAGCAGUGGGGAAUAUUGGGCAAUGGGCGAAAGCCUGAUCCAGCAAUGCCGCGUGAGUGAUGAAGGCCUUAGGGUUGUAAAGCUCUUUUACCAGGGAUGAUAAUGACAGUACCUGGAGAAUAAGCUCCGGCUAACUCCGUGCCAGCAGCCGCGGUAAUACGGAGGGAGCUAGCGUUGUUCGGAAUUACUGGGCGUAAAGCGUACGUAGGCGGUUAUUCAAGUCAGAGGUGAAAGCCUGGAGCUCAACUCCAGAACUGCCUUUGAAACUAGAUAGCUAGAAUCUUGGAGAGGUGAGUGGAAUUCCGAGUGUAGAGGUGAAAUUCGUAGAUAUUCGGAAGAACACCAGUGGCGAAGGCGACUCACUGGACAAGUAUUGACGCUGAGGUACGAAAGCGUGGGGAGCAAACAGGAUUAGAUACCCUGGUAGUCCACGCCGUAAACGAUGAUAACCUAGCUGUUCGGGCUCUACGAGCUUGNGUGCGCNGCUACGCAUAGUUAUCGCCGUGGAGGUACGGUCGCGAGAUAAACGUUAAAGUAAGUAGACGCGUGAGAGUGCGACGGACGACGACGAGGGAGAGG